GCCGGGUGCGGUGGCAUGUGCCUGUAAUCCAAGUCCUGGGAGGCUGAGGUUGGUGGAUCAAGUGAGCUGAGGAGCUCUGGGCUGCAGCACACUAUGUUGAACGGGUGUCCACGCUAAGUUCUGGUAUCGAUAUGGUGUUCCAGGGGGAGCCCGGGACCACCAGGUUGUCUAAAGGAGGGGUGAACCGGCCCAGGUCGGAAACGAAGCAGGUCAAAUCCCCCGUGCUGUCCAGUAGUUGGAUAAUACCUGUGAGUAGAUGCUGCAGUGCAGCCUUGGCGAAACAUCGAGACCUAAUCUUUU
rnacentral:SRP_RNA from 1 species